rnacentral:rRNA from 1 species
UACGUAGGGGGCAAGCGUUGUCCGGAUUUAUUGGGCGUAAAGAGCGUGUAGGCGGUCUGGUAGGUCCGUUGUGAAAACUCGAGGCUCAACCUCGAGACGCCGAUGGAAACCAUCAGACUAGAGUCCGGAAGAGGAGAGUGGAAUUCCCGGUGUAGCGGUGAAAUGCGCAGAUAUCGGGAAGAACACCCGUGGCUAAGGCGGCUCUCUAGUACGGUACUGACGCUGAGACGCGAAAGCGUGGGGAGCGAACAGG